rnacentral:rRNA from 1 species
GAUGAACGCUGGCGGCGUGCCUAAUACAUGCAAGUCGAGCGAACGGACGAGAAGCUUGCUUCUCUGAUGUUAGCGGCGGACGGGUGAGUAACACGUGGAUAACCUACCUAUAAGACUGGGAUAACUUCGGGAAACCGGAGCUAAUACCGGAUAAUAUUUUGAACCGCAUGGUUCAAAAGUGAAAGACGGUCUUGCUGUCACUUAUAGAUGGAUCCGCGCUGCAUUAGCUAGUUGGUAAGGUAACGGCUUACCAAGGCAACGAUGCAUAGCCGACCUGAGAGGGUGAUCGGCCACACUGGAACUGAGACACGGUCCAGACUCCUACGGGAGGCAGCAGUAGGGAAUCUUCCGCAAUGGGCGAAAGCCUGACGGAGCAACGCCGCGUGAGUGAUGAAGGUCUUCGGAUCGUAAAACUCUGUUAUUAGGGAAGAACAUAUGUGUAAGUAACUGUGCACAUCUUGACGGUACCUAAUCAGAAAGCCACGGCUAACUACGUGCCAGCAGCCGCGGUAAUACGUAGGUGGCAAGCGUUAUCCGGAAUUAUUGGGCGUAAAGCGCGCGUAGCGGUUUUUUAGUCUGAUGUGAAAGCCCACGGCUCAACCGUGGAGGGUCAUUGGAAACUGGAAAACUUGAGUGCAGAAGAGGAAAGUGGAAUUCCAUGUGUAGCGGUGAAAUGCGCAGAGAUAUGGAGGAACACCAGUGGCGAAGGCGACUUUCUGGUCUGUAACUGACGCUGAUGUGCGAAAGCGUGGGGAUCAAACAGGAUUAGAUACCCUGGUAGUCCACGCCGUAAACGAUGAGUGCUAAGUGUUAGGGGGUUUCCGCCCCUUAGUGCUGCAGCUAACGCAUUAAGCACUCCGCCUGGGGAGUACGACCGCAAGGUUGAAACUCAAAGGAAUUGACGGGGACCCGCACAAGCGGUGGAGCAUGUGGUUUAAUUCGAAGCAACGCGAAGAACCUUACCAAAUCUUGACAUCCUUUGACAACUCUAGAGAUAGAGCCUUCCCCUUCGGGGGACAAAGUGACAGGUGGUGCAUGGUUGUCGUCAGCUCGUGUCGUGAGAUGUUGGGUUAAGUCCCGCAACGAGCGCAACCCUUAAGCUUAGUUGCCAUCAUUAAGUUGGGCACUCUAAGUUGACUGCCGGUGACAAACCGGAGGAAGGUGGGGAUGACGUCAAAUCAUCAUGCCCCUUAUGAUUUGGGCUACACACGUGCUACAAUGGACAAUACAAAGGGCAGCGAAACCGCGAGGUCAAGCAAAUCCCAUAAAGCUGUUCUCAGUUCGGAUUGUAGUCUGCAACUCGACUACAUGAAGCUGGAAUCGCUAGUAAUCGUAGAUCAGCAUGCUACGGUGAAUACGUUCCCGGGUCU